GGGAGGCAGCAGUGGAGGAAUAUUGGACAAUGGAGGAGACUCUGAUCCAGCCAUGCCGCGUGCAGGAAGAAUGCCCUAUGGGUAGUAAACUGCUUUUAUACAGGAAGAAAAAGAGCUACGUGUAGCUUACUGACGGUACUGUAAGAAUAAGGACCGGCUAACUCCGUGCCAGCAGCCGCGGUAAUACGGAGGGUCCGAGCGUUAUCCGGAAUUAUUGGGUUUAAAGGGUCCGUAGGCGGGCGAUUAAGUCAGUGGUGAAAGUCUGCAGCUCAACUGUAGAACUGCCUUUGAUACUGGUCGUCUUGAGUUAUAGUGAAGUUGCCGGAAUAUGUAGUGUAGCGGUGAAAUGCAUAGAUAUUACAUAGAACACCGAUUGCGAAGGCAGGUGACUAACUAUAUACUGACGCUGAUGGACGAAAGCGUGGGGAGCGAACAGGAUUAGAUACCCUGGUAGUCCACGCCGUAAACGAUGGAUACUAGCUGUCCGGAACCUUGAGUUCUGGGCGGCCAAGCGAAAGUGAUAAGUAUCCCACCUGGGGAGUACGUUCGCAAGAAUGAAACUCAAA
rnacentral:rRNA from 1 species